UACAGAGGUCUCAAGCGUUGUUCGGAUUCAUUGGGCGUAAAGGGUGCGUAGGUGGCGCUGUAAGUCGGGUGUGAAAUUUCGGAGCUUAACUCCGAAACUGCAUUCGAUACUGCGGUGCUUGAGGACUGGAGAGGAGACUGGAAUUCAUGGUGUAGCAGUGAAAUGCGUAGAGAUCAUGAGGAAGACCAGUGGCGAAGGCGGGUCUCUGGACAGU
rnacentral:rRNA from 1 species